UUYUUUUAGUUAAAAUUAAAGGUAAAUUCUGCCCUAUGAUUGAUUAAGUUAAAUGGCUGCAGUAUUUUGACUGUGCAAAGGUAGCAUAAUAAUUAGUCAUUUAAUUGUUGACUUGCAUGAAUGGAUACAUGAAAGAUUUAUUUUUUUUAUUUUAUUAUUAAAAUUUUAUUUUUUGGUAAAAAAGCUUAAAUUAAUUUUUAGGGACGAUAAGACCCUAUAGAACUUUAUUAUAUAUUUAAUAUUAAGUUUUUUUGGAUAUUAAUAUUUUAUUUAUAUUAUUUAUAUUUUUUUGUUGGGGUGACAAAUAAAUAUUAACUUUAUUUUUUUAAAUCAUUAAUUUAUGAUUAAUAUGAUCCAUACUUAUAGAUUAAAAGAUUAAGUUACCUUAGGGAUAACAGCGUAAUUUUAAUGGGGAGUUCAUAUUUAUAUUAAAGUUUGCGACCUCGAUGUUGAAUUAAGAUAAGAUUGAGGGGCAGGUUUUUCAUUUCUGAGUCUGUUCGACUUUUAAAUUCUU
rnacentral:rRNA from 1 species